AUUGAACGCUGGCGGCAUGCCUUACACAUGCAAGUCGAACGGUAGAGUAGCAAUACUUGAGAGUGGCGAACGGGUGAGUAAUAUAUCGGAACGUGCCCAGUCGUGGGGGAUAACGUAGAGAAAUUUACGCUAAUACCGCAUACGAUCUAAGGAUGAAAGCGGGGGAUUCGCAAGAACCUCGCGCGAUUGGAGCGGCUGAUAUCAGAUUAGGUUGUUGGUGAGGUAAAAAGCUCACCAAGCCGACGAUCUGUAGCUGGUUUGAGAGAACGACCAGCCACACUGGGACUGAGACACGGCCCAGACUCCUACGGGAGCAGCAGUGGGAAUUUUGGACAAAUGGGCGAAAGCCUGAUCAGCAAUGCCGCGUGCAGGAAGAAGGCCUUCGGGUUGUAAAC
rnacentral:rRNA from 1 species